CCCGAGAGGGCCUGCGCUCGCGCGUGCGGCCGCCCCGGGCGAGUGCCCUGCGGGCUGGGUCGGCGGCCGGCCGCGUCCAGUGCGCCGGCGAACUACGAACCACGGGAAAGCUCUUCGUCUCAGGGCUACCGCCAUCCUUCCCGCUUCCAGGCGGCAGACGUGGUCCUCCCCGCAUCCAGGAAGUCGCCAAGCCCCGAGCGUCUCUCAGAAGCCCUUCGAGGUCCCGGAAAAGCAGUCCUUUCUUCCCGGUGCCGGCUUAACCGCUUUGGCCCGUGCUCACCACCGUUUGCUGUGCUCACUGCAGUGCGCGCCCUGCCUUGGGUCUUUCCCUGCACUUUUCCGUCAGCUGCCAGGCAGAUGCCCCCAAACAGCGUCCUGGAAAAGGCUGCCUGUGAGGUUCUGCGCUGGUGGAUUCGGGUCUCAGGUGUGCCGCUUGCCGGCAGGUGUCACUUCCGUGAAGCCUUGGUUCUCAAAUCUGUGCAGUGAGAUAAUUCCAGCACUCUCCAAGUGUUGGAAGUCAGAUAAUGUCUGUGAGACUCUGAGCACAUCGUCUGGCACAGCAGUUGAUACUGCCUGAGAAAUCCUGCCACUGGGUGCUUUGGGUGCACAUGUGGACUGCGGACAUUUGGGAAGGAAAUAUACACCAGAGUUACGACAGAACAUGACACCUACAUCCACCACCGUCAGUGAACCAGAGAGAACCUUGGAAAAUGCUGUGUUAACAGACCAUUUCAACCCCGGCACCCUGACACAUCCCACUGUGGAUGGGAGAGUCUCAGACAAGGCCUGGGUUGGUGAAGACACAUCAUCUCUGUCUACAGUCUCCCUAUUAGAAUCUAUUCUGACUAGAAGAGAGAUUUCAACAAUCAGUUGCUAAGGGAAAUGUUUCUGUUGAAAGACUUCCAAACAAAUAUGGUUGCUUCCUGCCAUCCUCAAAGGAACCUCAAACCAAGAAAUUGGGUAGAACCUUGUUAAGUGUGCAGGGAACCAUGUGCCAGGAACUGAGACAUGCAGGGCCAGUGUGAGCUGCUCACUGCUUUCCUGCCCUGUUCCCCCUGAUAGUCACGACAGAGCCCAGUCUGCCCACUGGCCUCUCUUUUGAAGGCAACCAAGAUAGUGUGUGGCUAAGCUGACAAGGAAAUGGCUAACUGCUUUUUGGCUGGUGGCUAGGCGGGCACCCGGAAAGAGCCUUACUGCCAAAUCGAGGAGGUUCCGAUGGGCAUAAGCUAGCUGGAGGGGCAUUCUGUAAGAGGUUAUGGAUUAAAUAGGAUCAUACCACUUUUGAAGAAGCAUCCAGAAUCACAGCAAUGACAGCAAAUUUGCAACAUUUUUCUUCUUUAGAUUCAUUUUUUUUUAUUAUGGUAAAUGUAUAUCUAACCUGGGAUUUGCCAUUUUAACCAUUUAAAAUAUACAGUUCAAUAGCAUUAAGGACAUUCACAUUGUUUGUUAUAGAACCAUCAUCACCAUCUCUCUCCAGAAAUUUUUCAACGUCUCAAACUGAAACUCCAUACCCACUAAACAAUAAUGCCCGGCCCCAUCUCCCCACCAGCCCUGGCGACCACUACUCUACAUCCUGUUUCUAUGAAUUUGACUACUUCAGGUACUUCAUAGAAGUGGAAUCAUGCAAUAAGCUCGUUUUAUUUUA